CCUACGGGUGGCAGCAGUGGGGAAUAUUGCACAAUGGGCGCAAGCCUGAUGCAGCCAUGCCGCGUGUGUGAAGAAGGCCUUCGGGUUGUAAAGCACUUUCAGCGGGGAGGAAGGCGGUGAGGUUAAUAACCUCAUCGAUUGACGUUACCCGCAGAAGAAGCACCGGCUAACCCCGUGCCAGCAGCCGCGGUAAUACGGAGGGUGCAAGCGUUAAUCGGAAUUACUGGGCGUAAAGCGCACGCAGGCGGUCUGUCAAGUCGGAUGUGAAAUCCCCGGGCUCAACCUGGGAACUGCAUUCGAAACUGGCAGGCUAGGGUCUUGUAGAGGGGGGUAGAAUUCCAGGUGUAGCGGUGAAAUGCGUAGAGAUCUGGAGGAAUACCGGUGGCGAAGGCGGCCCCCUGGACAAAGACUGACGCUCAGGUGCGAAAGCGUGGGGAGCAAACAGGAUUAGAUACCCUAGUAGUC
rnacentral:rRNA from 1 species